rnacentral:rRNA from 1 species
AUUGAACGCUGGCGGCAGGCUUAACACAUGCAAGUCGAGCGGAGAGAGGUAGCUUGCUACCGAUCUUAGCGGCGGACGGGUGAGUAAUGCUUAGGAAUCUGCCUAUUAGUGGGGGACAACAUUUCGAAAGGAAUGCUAAUACCGCAUACGUCCUACGGGAGAAAGCAGGGGAUCUUCGUACCUUGCGCUAAUAGAUGAGCCUAAGUCGGAUUAGCUAGUUGGUGGGGUAAAGGCCUACCAAGGCGACGAUCUGUAGCGGGUCUGAGAGGAUGAUCCGCCACACUGGGACUGAGACACGGCCCAGACUCCUACGGGAGGCAGCAGUGGGGAAUAUUGGACAAUGGGCGCAAGCCUGAUCCAGCCAUGCCGCGUGUGUGAAGAAGGCCUUAUGGUUGUAAAGCACUUUAAGCGAGGAGGAGGCUACUUUAGUUAAUACCUAGAGAUAGUGGACGUUACUCGCAGAAUAAGCACCGGCUAACUCUGUGCCAGCCGCCGCGGUAACAC